CUCGGGGAACUGAAACAUCUAAGUACCCCGAGGAAAAGAAAUCAACCGAGAUUCCCCCAGUAGCGGCGAGCGAACGGGGAGCAGCCCAGAG
rnacentral:rRNA from 1 species